GGCCUGGCUGGGCGGUCCGCCUCACGGCGUGUACUGUCUGGCUGGGUCUUACCUCUUGGUGAGCCGGCGUGCCCUUUAUUGGUGUGCGUCGGGGAACCAGGACUUUUACCUUGAGAAAAUUAGAGUGUUCAAAGCAGGCAAUACGCCCGAAUACAUUAGCAUGGAAUAACGAAAUAGGACGUGCGGUUCUAUUUUGUUGGUUUCUAGAGUCGCCGUA
rnacentral:rRNA from 1 species